rnacentral:hammerhead_ribozyme from 1 species
AUCCUACUGACCAGUCCCGGACAGGACGAAACGUACGUCUUGGAU